UGUAGAGUUAACCAACCGAUUUGCCCCCCACCUCCCACGUUUCUUCUCUCCCAUCUCUCCAUCGCCGCCAGCACCGCCCCGCCCCUCUCCCUGGACAUGUCCAGCGCCCCGUGCUGUGCCCCGCCUCCUCCUCCUCUUUCGUUUCCACGCCACCACGGUGGUUGGUCGCGCCCUUGGGCGCGCGCCCGCGAAACCCUAGCCCCUCCAGGCUUGGUCGCCGGCACUUCACUGACGCUGCCGCACCUCCGGCUGCUCCUCCUCGCGGAGGAUGUCUUUCUCUACUUCGCCUGCAUCUCCUCCUCGACCUCCCCUGGCUGCUGCUCCGGUACAUCGACGCCGACGCCUACCUCCUAGAAGCCCGCGUCGUCCCGUUCCCAUCGCUGGGUGGACGAGGUCUAUCUCGAAUCGCCCGUUUGGUUCAGUCGUCGGGGCAGCUGGCGCUGAUCUGGUCGCCCCAUGACAUCGGGAGGGAGUUGGGGCGGCGGUGUUGUCGUCGGCAAGGAGGCGGGAAAACGAGCAGGGAGCAGCGAGGAGGUGACGCCUGGUGAGCAUCGUCAUAACAUUCCACGCCCCUGCAAUUGACAGCAAUUUUGGGGCCCUGGGGUUGCUGCCAUGACACGUCAGACGCCUUAACCGGGUAUAUCAGAGGAGCCGACAGGGCCGGUGCUCCCUCUCAACGGGUCCUUGUGGGAAUGCAAUUGUCGGACAAGGUGAUCAAAGGGACCAAGGCAGAUGUGGCAUUGUGAGUACCAAUCCAGCAGAUCAAUGAAUCCAGUUGGCUGAACUUGCAGAUGUGCCUUCCAAGCAUGGGAGAUAUAAUUGCAAACUAAUCUCAAAUCUAGUGGAGGAAGUGCACCGGUGGUACUUUAAGGCAGAUGGACAGACGGCGGACUGCUGGUGUGGCGUUUUACCUCACUAACACUGUUGAGUUCGUCCCGGAUGAGCCAUAUCCAACUCCGGAGGCAAGCAACCCUAUAAUUUUUAAAUUCCUUAAAGUUCAUGUUUGAUUUCCAGCCGGCUGAACACAUGAUGAGCAAUAGUAAUUUAUUUUGAUCGGUAGUGAUAAAUAAAGAAGAAUACUGUAAUGUACAUGCCUAUCCAUGAGACUUCUCUACACCGUAUUAUGUGUUCUAGGUAGCAGAGGAAAUCCACCUGUAUUGGUCUGCACCGUCAUUAGCAGCAACAUGGGGGGAUGCUACAUCAAUAGUUCGAACACUGGCAAACCAGUUCACUGUGAUGUAAAUUUCAUUUUCUAUGUGAAUUUCUUUCUUGCAGAAUACAUCUGAAGCUUAAUUUUCAUAUUUUUGUCCUUUUCAUCCCAUGCUUGCCAAAGGAAUUAGUUGUUUUUUUUAUGUAGAGGAUUUUUUAUAGGAACAUCAUAGUAGGAGCCACUUCUUCUGCUUUAACAUCACAAGAAAAAUAUCUAAAGUAUUUUGCGUGCCCUAUACUAAACAACCAUUGAGGCCAAUUCAGUGGCAAGAUUUUUAAGCACUUACUGUGUGAUAUAACACCACAUUUCUCUGCCUUUUCUCUUUUGGUACAAUCUGGCAGUUCAUGUGAUUUGUUUGUCUUCCUUCCAUGAUUCUCCAAAGUCUUGAAGCUAGCGGUUAGACAUUAAGGAAAACUAGAGAUGCCAUAGAGAACGGAAGAGAAUUCGCUGUUAGUUGAUUGAUUAUAAAUAGAGGUAUGUUACAGUCAUAUCCAUGGAAGUAGGGAUGCAUGUAUUUUUCUGUUGGUUUCAGAAAAUCAUUUUGAUUUUGGGCCAUUUAAUUUUCUCGAUGUUUGAUUUAAAAAGUUAUGCCAUUGUGACUCUAUGUUGAUGCUUACCCCCAUCUAUAUUACUAUUUUGUACUUAUGCGACAAAUUAGGCUUCAUCUUAUUCAACUUAAUUAUUUAUUUCAUAUCCCAGCUUAGCAAUUAUAGUUAUCUAUUGUUUUAUUUGCAGCCAUUGAGCUGAGAAAUUAUUAGACAUCUAUAAUAUUAUUUGUUCAUUGGGUUACUAUCUAAGUAUGAUGUCAGUGCGAUGUUGCUUCAGCAUUGUAUACUCUAAUGAUAUGUUUUAUGAAGUAAUCAACUAUGCCUGAUCAGUUGAGGAAUCUAUGGUUUCUUAUGUGGCUUUGUUUGAUAAUAUAAUUUUCGAUGCAUUUCUGAUAGAUUAACUUCUCAAUGUGAAUUCCAAAAUAAGGUUCAGAUUUACAAUGAUUGCUACUUAAAAGGAAACUUGUAGUCAUUUACGUUGUGUUUUCUUAGCGGUCUCUAGAACCUUAAAAUUGCAUUGCCUAUUUAGCUUUCAACAGCAAUAGCAUCAGCCAGAAACUUAGGUCCACCUCUCUGUCAUCUAUGCAUGUAGACUUGCUAGAUUAGGUUCGGACGGUUAAGGCCAAAUAAGGUUCAGAUUUUUAGUCAGUGCUUGCUACUUCAAAGUAAACUUGGUACUCGCUUACAUUGUGUUUUCUUAGCACUGUUUAUAACCUUAAAACUGCGUUGCCAUUGUUAUUUAGCUUUCAACAGCAACAACGUCGUGUUUGUGCCCACGUAGUUCGUGUGGUCUGAUGCAACCACUUUGAUCACUUUGUACUCUGCCUCUUCAUCUUUGACACUAUGCAGGGAGCUGAUGAGAUGUCGGUUCACGUUUGGGUUGUCACGCAGCUGUUGCUGGAGUGUUCGUCCUAUUUUUUUUAUCUAUGAUAUUUCCAGAGGGGCUGAUAGUGAUGCUCGAGUGGUCUUCAAACUGGGGUUUCAGGAGCUGUUCAACAAGCAAUGCUGAGUUUCUGAUCAGCAGAAAUAGCACUAGCGGUGUAUCAGUAUCACAGGCUGCAGAUAGCAGCUGACAAGAUGUCUAUUGUUGAGCUGGAGUAUUAUGAAAAUAUGAAUUGUGUUUUUUCUGGUCUUCGGUGGCAAUUCAUGUUAUAGGAUGGUGAAAUUAAUCCUGUAAAUUUUUGUGACCUGAUGCUAUAAUAUUUAAAUUCAGUUAUGCUAUAUAAUUUAUCACUGUAA